GACGAACGCUGGCGGCGUGCUUAACACAUGCAAGUCGAACGGAAAGGCCCUGCUUUUGUGGGGUGCUCGAGUGGCGAACGGGUGAGUAACACGUGAGUAACCUGCCCUUGACUUUGGGAUAACUUCAGGAAACUGGGGCUAAUACCGGAUAGGAGCUCCUGCUGCAUGGUGGGGGUUGGAUAGUUUCGGCGGUUGGGGAUGGACUCGCGGCUUAUCAGCUUGUUGGUGGGGUAGUGGCUUACCAAGGCUUUGACGGGUAGCCGGCCUGAGAGGGUGACCGGCCACAUUGGGACUGAGAUACGGCCCAGACUCCUACGGGAGGCAGCAGUGGGGAAUAUUGCACAAUGGGCGGAAGCCUGAUGCAGCGACGCCGCGUGCGGGAUGACGGCCUUCGGGUUGUAAACCGCUUUCGCCUGUGACGAAGCGUGACUGACGGUAAUUGGUGAAGAAGCACCGGCUAACUACGUG
rnacentral:rRNA from 1 species